rnacentral:rRNA from 1 species
CCUACGGGUGGCAGCAGUGGGGGAUAUUGCACAAUGGGGGGAACCCUGAUGCAGCGACGCCGCGUGGGUGAAGGAGUGCUUCGGCAUGUAAAGCCCUAUCGGCAGGGAAGAAGCAAGACGGUACCUGACUAAGAAGCCCCGGCUAACUACGUGCCAGCAGCCGCGGCUAUACGUAGGGGGCGAGCGUUAUGCGGAGUCACGGGGUGUAAAGGGAGCGUAGUCGGCCAUGCAAGCCAGGGGGGAAAGCCCGGGGCCCAACCCCGGAACUGCCCUUGGAACUGCAUGGCUGGAGUGCGGGAGGGGCAGGUGGAAUUCCAGGUGUAGCGGUGAAAUGCGUAGAUAUCAGGAGGAAGACCGGAGGCGAAGGCGGCCUGCUGGGCCGCGACUGACGUUGAGGCUCGAAAGCGUGGGGAGCGAACAGGAUUAGAUACCCGAGUAGUC